UACUGUUUGUCUUUUAUUUCCGCCCCUGCUUGGACCUGUUAGGUUUUCAAUUCAUCUAUGUAAAAAGGAAAAUCAAAGACUUUCGGUCUUCAAGUGGUCUUCGUGAAUGUUUUUCAAAAUGUUAGCCACUGUCCAGCAUUGGUCACCUAUCCAUCCCAUCUAUGAGAAUCCCUUAUGUACUUUCCCCAGGAAAAACUGAGAUUUAAAAUUUUCCCAGCCACCACUUCAAAGUAUAUGGGGUAAGCAACAUAUACAUGUUUGGGUGGAGUAUUCUUUUAAGGACAAUGUCAAAAUGUAAGCCCGGUCACUAUUUCGUCUGGAGCAUUGUUUGUGUGUCUUAUUUAUAUUAUAGACAUUUUGUGCAUUACUUUUAACAGUUUCUUACAAAAAAAUUUGUUUACUACCAUGUUUUUGUGAUUUUGGUGUCUUUUAUUGCUGUAUAAAUUAAUGCCUAAUUGCCUCUGUUCCAGAUUAGUGUUUUUAUAGAAGCCUGUUAUUUGAUCCAUCAAAGUCGCUGUUUAAAAGAAAACCCCAUUGAAAAUAGUCCUGUGGGAUGAAGUCUAAGCUUGAAGUUCUGUUCUUUAGUCAGUAGUUCAUCUUAGACGAUAGACAUUUACUACCUACUGAGCUUUAGAAUGGCAGAAAAAUGAAAUAAACUACAGAUAGACUAAAGAUGGUCAAAAUUAACAUGUUCUGAUGUUAACAGUUUGUGCUCCACAUGAAACGGUAAACAUGAUAAACAUGUUUAAAAUUGAAUUUAAAUCAAUGAAGGGGGAACCAAGAGUAAAUUGUGUGUUAAAAAUGCCCAUCAUAAAAAUAAUAAUCUUAUGUCAUAUACAUGACGUGAUUUUUUUUUUUUUUAUUCAAAGCUAAAAAUCCAGGUCCUAUAGUCUAAACUAGUAAGUUCUUGAUACAUUGCUGUGGUAAACUUGUAGAAUUCAGAUUUUAGAAGUAAAUCAGGGGCUUUAAAAAAUGGGGAGUCGGCCUAUGUGACAAAUGACACUGCUGCUGUUCAUUUACGGAUCAGUGGUGUUAGGUUACACAUUACAAUAUGGAAUCCUGACAAGUCAAGGUGAAUGCUAAAUUUUAAUUCUCAAGCAGAAAUGACCGACUCUCUAAAUAUCCUACCACCCUGCUCUGAUUCAGGAUUUCUUAGCACUAAUUUAUGUGUUCGGCCUUUUAGGACUGGUCUCCUCCAACUUUGUAUCACUGCACUCUUAAAAUUUUCAACCUAUUUGUUGUUGCCCACUUUCUCUGUCCUUCAGAUUAGAUGGUGCCAGGCUGAGUCUCACUUUCUUGAUUGGGUUGAGGACUGUUACAUUUUUAAAGCCACUCUUGUGUGGCUUACGUUGUAUUUGAUUUGGUCUGCUGCCAACUCCUUUUCCCCCUGGACUUGUGUCUGUGCAGAGAAGCGGGACACUGACACCUGUACACGUCAUGGCAGAAAUGUUACACUUGAGCUGUGGACAUCAAGACCAAAGACUCAAUAUUUGAUGAACGGAGUGCAAUGAAAGGCCAUCUUUCCACAAUAGAAACAACAUACCACAAGUAAGUGCUGAAGGCAUUUCCUGCGACUGUCCUUGUGUAUAGCAAGUCACUGAAGCGGAUGUUCAUUUCUGCACUCUUUUCAAUGUAUUCUGCUGUGACGGGGAGACAUUUUGAUUGUGCAUGUAACUCAGGUAUAUAUGAAACUGAACCUCAGCCAUUCAAGUGGUGUUCUGAUGGAGUGUGGGUUGAGAAACAGGGCAGUCCCACCUACUUUACUUUCUGCAAAAGUUAAUGGUGAUAUUUAUUCAUAUAAUAUUUUAUAUGCAGUAUAUAGUUGAUGUAUUUAUUGUAAUGCUUUUCAAAAAAGAAUUGUCAGAGGAUUAAUUGUACACAUGCAAGUAACAAUUUAAAUAAAGGAGAUAUGUGAAGAAG